rnacentral:rRNA from 1 species
GUCGAGCGGCAGCGCGGGGCAACCUGGCGGCGAGCGGCGAACGGGUGAGUAAUACAUCGGAACGUGCCCAAGUGUGGGGGAUAGCCCGGCGAAAGCCGGAUUAAUACCGCAUACGAUCUAAGGAUGAAAGCGGGGGAUCGCAAGACCUCGCGCACUUGGAGCGGCUGAUGGCAGAUUAGGUAGUUGGUGGGGUAAAGGCCUACCAAGCCUACGAUCUGUAGCUGGUCUGAGAGGACGACCAGCCACACUGGGACUGAGACACGGCCCAGACUCCUACGGGAGGCAGCAGUGGGGAAUUUUGGACAAUGGGCGAAAGCCUGAUCCAGCCAUUCCGCGUGCAGGAUGAAGGCCCUCGGGUUGUAAACUGCUUUUGUACAGAACGAAAAGGCUCUGGUUAAUACCUGGGGCUCAUGACGGUACUGUAAGAAUAAGCACCGGCUAACUACGUGCCAGCAGCCGCGGUAAUACGUAGGGUGCAAGCGUUAAUCGGAAUUACUGGGCGUAAAGCGUGCGCAGGCGGUUUUGUAAGACAGAGGUGAAAUCCCCGGGCUCAACCUGGGAACUGCCUUUGUGACUGCAAGGCUGGAGUACGGCAGAGGGGGAUGGAAUUCCGCGUGUAGCAGUGAAAUGCGUAGAUAUGCGG